rnacentral:misc_RNA from 1 species
GUGCACCCAGAAACCCUUUGUGAACUUAUACCUACAUCGUUGCCUCGGCGUUGGCUGCCUCUCCCUUCGGGGAGGGGGCCCUGCUCCUCUGGUGGUCAAACACCUGGGAAAAGGACAGCAGGCCCGCCGGUGGCCCAUUAAACUCUUGUAUUUACCGAGUAACAUCUGAGUAAAGCUUCUAAAUGAAUCAA